rnacentral:rRNA from 1 species
UACGGAGGGUGCAAGCGUUAUCCGGAUUCACUGGGUUUAAAGGGUGCGUAGGCGGAAUUAUAAGUCAGUAGUGAAAACCCCGAGCUCAACUUGGGAACUGCCAUUGAUACUGUUUUUCGUGAGUGUGGUUGAAGUAGGCGGAAUAAGACAUGUAGCGGUGAAAUGCUUAGAUAUGUCAUAGAACACCGAUUGCGAAGGCAGCUCACUAAACCAUUACUGACGCUGAGGCACGAAAGCGUGGGGAGCGAACAGG